AUUGAACGCUGGCGGCAUGCUUUACACAUGCAAGUCGAACGGUAACAGGCCUUCGGGUGCUGACGAGUGGCGCACGGGUGAGUAAUGCAUCGGAACGUACCCAGAGGUGGGGGAUAACGCAGCGAAAGCUGUGCUAAUACCGCAUGUGAUCUGAGGAUGAAAGCGGGGGACCGAGCAGCAAUGUUUGGCCUCGCGCCUUUGGAGCGGCCGAUGUCGGAUUAGCUAGUUGGUGGGGUAAAGGCCUACCAAGGCGACGAUCCGUAGCUGGUCUGAGAGGACGACCAGCCACACUGGGACUGAGACACGGCACAGACUCCUACGGGAGGCAGCAGUGGGGAAUUUUGGACAAUGGGCGCAAGCCUGAUCCAGCAAUGCCGCGUGCGGGAAGAAGGCCUUCGGGUUGUAAACCGCUUUUGGCAGGAACGAAACGGUGUCCGCUAAUACCGGGCGCUAAUGACGGUACCUGCAGAAUAAGCACCGGCUAACUACGUG
rnacentral:rRNA from 1 species